rnacentral:rRNA from 1 species
AGUGAACGCUGGCGGUAGGCCUAACACAUGCAAGUCGAACGGCAGCACAGUAAGAGCUUGCUCUUACGGGUGGCGAGUGGCGGACGGGUGAGGAAUACAUCGGAAUCUACUUUUUCGUGGGGGAUAACGUAGGGAAACUUACGCUAAUACCGCAUACGACCUACGGGUGAAAGCAGGGGAUCUUCGGACCUUGCGCGAUUGAAUGAGCCGAUGUCGGAUUAGCUAGUUGGCGGGGUAAAGGCCCACCAAGGCGACGAUCCGUAGCUGGUCUGAGAGGAUGAUCAGCCACACUGGAACUGAGACACGGUCCAGACUCCUACGGGAGGCAGCAGUGGGGGAUAUUGGACAAUGGGCGCAAGCCUGAUCCAGCCAUACCGCGUGGGUGAAGAAGGCCUUCGGGUUGUAAAGCCCUUUUGUUGGGAAAGAAAAGCAGCAGGUUAAUACCCCACUGUUCUGACGGUACCCAAAGAAUAAGCACCGGCUAACUUCGUG